rnacentral:rRNA from 1 species
GACGAACGCUGGCGGCGUGCCUAAUACAUGCAAGUAGAACGCUGAAGAGAGGAGCUUGCUCUUCUUGGAUGAGUUGCGAACGGGUGAGUAACGCGUAGGUAACCUGCCCUGUAGCGGGGGAUAACUAUUGGAAACGAUAGCUAAUACCGCAUAACAAUGGAUGACACAUGUCAUUUAUUUGAAAGGGGCAAUUGCUCCACUACAAGAUGGACCUGCGUUGUAUUAGCUAGUAGGUGAGGUAAUGGCUCACCUAGGCGGCGAUACAUAGCCGACCUGAGAGGGUGAUCGGCCACACUGGGACUGAGACACGGCCCAGACUCCUACGGGAGGCAGCAGUAGGGAAUCUUCGGCAAUGGGGGCAACCCUGACCGAGCAACGCCGCGUGAGUGAAGAAGGUUUUCGGAUCGUAAAGCUCUGUUGUAAGUCAAGAACGGGUGUGAGAGUGGAAAGUUCACACUGUGACGGUAGCUUACCAGAAAGGGACGGCUAACUACGUG